rnacentral:rRNA from 1 species
GGGGGGAGCAAGCGUUGUUCGGAUUUACUGGGCGUAAAGGGCGCGUAGGCGGCCACCGCAAGUCGGUUGUGAAAUCUCCGGGCUUAACCCGGAAAGGUCAACCGAUACUGCGGGGCUAGAGUGCAGAAGGGGCAACUGGAAUUCUCGGUGUAGCGGUGAAAUGCGUAGAUAUCGAGAGGAACACCUGCGGCGAAGGCGGGUUGCUGGGCUGACACUGACGCUGAGGCGCGAAAGCUAGGGGAGCGAACGGGAUUAGAUACCCCGGUAGUCCUAGCCUUAAACGAUGGAUGCUUGGUGUCUGGGGUUUUAUAGUCCCCGGGUGCCGUCGCUAACGCUUUAAGCAUCCCGCCUGGGGAGUACGGUCGCAAGACUGAA